CCUGGGGGCAGCAGGACGGAGCUGGCACUCGGCGUUUCCGAAGGAGCUGACCCCGCGGUCCCAGCCCCGCUCCACGGGAGCGGAGAGCCGCGAAGGAGCUCUGGCCCGGGGAAACGGGGAGAGCUGCGGGGACAGCGCGGGGCCGGGCGGGUCCCGGCUCCGCUCGACUCCCAGCGGGCUCCGUCCCGUACUAUUCCCGGCACUUCAGGGCGAGAAGAGCAGCGCAAAAGAGCCGCCUGGAAAGAAGAGCGGACAACCCGCAAGAAAUCGCUGCCAGCUCAGAGGGGCACACAGCCAUCCCGCAGGACAGGGGGCGGGGAGGGGGGGCACCCAAAACCCAACCCAGCCCCACGCGAACGACACGGGCGCUUACAUCCUCCUCCUCGCAGUCACUUCGCUGCUGGUACUGGAAGCGGGGCCGGCUGCCUUCCUGUUGCAAUGGACGCGGGGUCUUGCCGGCAGCGCCGUCCUCCUCGCUGCUCUGGGCGCCCAGGAGCAUGCUACACGCGGGUGAGGAUCAGUCCCACAUCAGCGGGAGGGAGAGCGAGGGAUCCUGCUCCCCGGUCCUCUGCACCGGCACCCGGAGAGAAGCCGGGGGGUCCAAGAGAGCAGAGACGGGGGAGUGAUGAGAGGAAGAAGAGAGAAGAUAGACAAAUAAAUAAUAAAACGCAAUCGAGCCGUAACACCACAGGCCCCGGGAAUGCUGCACCAUCCAGUGUUGGGAAGGAAAAAAAAACAGAAGAGAAAAAACAAUAACCAAAACACUCCACGAAGACGUACCCCCGAUAAUGGCGCCUGAGUGGAUCAGCAUUAAAUGUGCUUUGGGGGUGUGCGUGUGUGUUUGCAAAAGCAGGAAAAAAAAAAAAAAAAAGGAAGGGGGGCUGGCUCAAUCGCUGGCUGUCAGUGGCUCCCCAGGCAGAGGUGGCGGAGCAGUCGCCUCCGAGGUCGCAUACCAACAGUGUGCACAAGCAGAGUGACAGAGUGUGUGAGACGGAGUGGAAGAGGCUGGGAAGCCUCAUUCAAAGCACGUUGCUCUUCUUGGGAAGGAGGGCUCUUCUACGAUCAUCUCCUUUUCGGUACCUUCUGGGGUUUUUUCCCCUGCCUUUUUUUUUUCCCGGGGAAACAACUCAAAAAAAGGAAAAAAAAAAAAAAAUAAAAAGGCAACAGACACCUGAUCGCCA
rnacentral:lncRNA from 1 species